rnacentral:rRNA from 1 species
GAUGAACGCUGGCGGCGUGCCUAAUACAUGCAAGUCGAGCGAACAGACGAGGAGCUCGUUCCUCUGACGUUAGCGGCGGACGGGUGAGUAACACGUGGAUAACCUACCUAUAAGACGGGGAUAACUUCGUGAAACCGGAGCUACUACCGGAUAACAUGUUGAACCGCAGGGAUCAACAGUGAAAGACGGUCUUGCUGUCACUUAUAGAUGGAUCCGCGCCGCAUUAGCUAGUUGGUAAGGUAACGGCCUACCAAGGCAACGAUGCGUAGCCGACCUGAGAGGGUGAUCGGCCACACUGGAACUGAGACACGGUCCAGACUCCUACGGGAGGCAGCAGUAGGGAAUCUUGCACAAUGGGCGAAAGCCUGACGGAGCAACGCCGCGUGAGUGAAGAAGGUCUUCGGAUCGUAAAGCUCUGUUAUUAGGGAAGAACAAAUGUGUAAUUAACUAUGCAUGUCUUGACGGUACCUAAAGAGAAAGCCACGGCUAACUACGUG